UACGGAGGGGGCUAGCGUUGUUCGGAAUUACUGGGCGUAAAGCGCACGUAGGCGGCUUUGUAAGUUAGAGGUGAAAGCCCGGAGCUCAACUCCGGAAUUGCCUUUAAGACUGCAUCGCUAGAAUUGUGGAGAGGUAAGUGGAAUUCCGAGUGUAGAGGUGAAAUUCGUAGAUAUUGGGAAGAACACCGGUGGCGAAGGCGGCUAUCUGGACCGUAACUGACGCUGAGGCGCGAAAGCGUGGGGAGCAAACAGG
rnacentral:rRNA from 1 species